AAGAGCCUGAGUUCAGAGAGUAGAUGGCAGUUGUCCUGUAUUUUUGCUGGUAUUUGCCGUGCCUCUGAAGUAGUUCCUGAGGUUCUCCACGAACAACACUUUGGGGGUGGAGGAGAAAACAAGUCCCUAAAGAGCAAACAAAACUGCCAUCUGGAGAUCCCAUGAUGAGUAUGGUCACUCUGAAACACAGGAGCUCAGUCCUCUUCCGAUCAGCUAUGCGACCUCUCAGUGUGCAUGUGGCAUGCAUUCAUCCAUCCAUGUAAAUGGGUGUGGCACCGGGGGACGAUGGGAAACACCUAUAACCUUGGCACUCCGGAGGCAACAGGAGGAAGAUCAAGAAUUCAAAUCUAGGGCUGGUGAGAUGGCUCAGUGGGUAAGAGCACCCGACUGCUCUUCCGAAGGUCUGAAGUUCAAAUCCCA
rnacentral:lncRNA from 1 species